rnacentral:rRNA from 1 species
GACGAACGCUGGCGGCGUGCUUAACACAUGCAAGUCGAACGGAAAGGCCCUGCUUUUGUGGGGUGCUCGAGUGGCGAACGGGUGAGUAACACGUGAGUAACCUGCCCUUUACUUUGGGAUAACUUCAGGAAACUGGGGCUAAUACCGGAUAGGAGCUCCUGCUGCAUGGUGGGGGUUGGAAAGUUUCGGCGGUUGGGGAUGGACUCGCGGCUUAUCAGCUUGUUGGUUGGGUAGUGGCUUACCAAGGCUUUGACGGGUAGCCGGCCUGAGAGGGUGACCGGCAACAUUGGGACUGAGAUACGGCCCAGACUCCUACGGGAGGCAGCAGUGGGGAAUAUUGCACAAUGGGCGGAAGCCUGAUGCAGCAACGCCGCGUGCGGGAUGACGGCCUUCGGGUUGUAAACCGCUUUCGCCUGUGACGAAGCGUGAGUGACGGUAAUGGGUAAAGAAGCACCGGCUAACUACGUG